rnacentral:rRNA from 1 species
GACGAACGCUGGCGGCGUGCCUAAUACAUGCAAGUCGAACGCUUCUUUCCUCCCGAGUGCUUGCACUCAAUUGGAAAGAGGAGUGGCGGACGGGUGAGUAACACGUGGGUAACCUACCCAUCAGAGGGGGAUAACACUUGGAAACAGGUGCUAAUACCGCAUAACAGUUUAUGCCGCAUGGCAUAAGAGUGAAAGGCGCUUUCGGGUGUCGCUGAUGGAUGGACCCGCGGUGCAUUAGCUAGGUGGUGAGGUAACGGCUCACCAAGGCCACGAUGCAUAGCCGACCUGAGAGGGUGAUCGGCCACACUGGGACUGAGACACGGCCCAGACUCCUACGGGAGGCAGCAGUAGGGAAUCUUCGGCAAUGGACGAAAGUCUGACCGAGCAACGCCGCGUGAGUGAAGAAGGUUUUCGGAUCGUAAAACUCUGUUGUUAGAGAAGAACAAGGACGUUAGUAACUGAACGUCCCCUGACGGUAUCUAACCAGAAAGCCACGGCUAACUACGUG